GCCUUUGGACUAUUGGGAGAAGCCUUGCACUUACAAUGUUGAGUGCAAGGGUUCGAGCCUCCAUAAGUGCAUUAUGGAGAUUAGUUUCAGUUCUUCCUCAAUUAUUAAUUAAUUGAGUGGAGACAGUCUCUCUCUCACGAAAUGUGAGUAGAUAGGCACCCCUCGAAUAUUAGAGAGGGUUUAAAAUAUCUGGGCAUAUACUUCAGUGUGUCAAUGUAUGGUGGUAGUCCCAGUUAUAUAGUAUGAUUGUAAAUAUCAAUUGUAAUGUCUGAUGUAAUGUCAGUAAUAUCUGUGUAUAACAGACUUCAAAAAAAAAAAAAAAAAGGUACAUAGGCUAGCUAGCAAUGACAUUUUUGUUUAUGUUAUAAGCGUCAAGGAGCUAGCGCGGUCCAUUAUUUAGAGUAAUGGUACAAGGGCAUUCAAGACACGCAUGAGGCUGAUCUCUCAUCAGCCGGGAAUAGAACAACAGCAAACGCGCGCUCCUUAGUAAGAGCCAAACGUCGAUUAUCAUCGUAAGAAACCCCAACAUCAUUGCAUAAGGAUACACAGGAUUCGCAAACGGAAGGACAAUGAACAAUCUUGUACGCAUCUGGAAAGAGCAAUGAUACAUAAAUAUAAAAUUUGUAAAAUCAGUAAAAAAAAAUAAAUCAAUACAAGAUAAGUGAGAUGAUUUUGUCGCACUUUUUCAUUAUUUGUCUUUUCAAAUUUUGUGUUCAUGAAUCAUUAUUAUUCGGGGUAAAUGCUCCUUUAAUACUUAUGUUUUUUUAAUUAAGUGUUCGUUUAGUUUUUAUAUUUAAAAAAAAUUUCAUGACAUUUUGUAAAAUCAGUAAAAAAAAAAAUCAAUACAGGAUAAGUGAGAUGAUUUUGUCGCACUUUGUCAUUAUUUAUCUUUUCAAAUUGGGUUCCUCUAUGAUGUUGUAAUUUUUUUUACAACAUCAAUAAUGUAUUAAUUGUGAACCAUUAGAUCUAAUCAAUGGUAUACACUAUUUGUACUAAAAAAAUAAUUUAAAAAUAAUGGUAAUCGUACAAGUGGGUGGAUAAUUUUUGUAAAAUAAUUGUGACCACCCUUAGAGUUUGAAACAAUUUCACUUAAAUAGUAUAUUUUAUUUAAAAUUACUUUUUAGCCCUCCUUUAAAUUUGUAAUAUGAUAAUCUCUUUUAAAUAAAUCUUCCAAAAUCAGUUACCAUUAAGUAUAAA
rnacentral:lncRNA from 1 species